rnacentral:lncRNA from 1 species
AGAGUAACUUGAUAAGUACACAAGAGAUGAGUAUUUAACUCUAAAGACUGAGGAGAGUAAACUUGUUUUGUGAAAUACAUGGAGAAGGGUUUAGCUCUCCUUGGAAGAAAGAGGUUGCUAAAACAGAACAGGGGGAACAGAGAGAAGAGGUAACAAAAUGGGGAUAGGUUGGAAUUAGAUGUGACACUGUAGGAUAAAUAAUGACCACUCAAAGAUGCCUGAUUCAAAUGUCUGGAACCUGUAAAUGAUACCCAAUAGGGAAAGGGUGGGAAAAGAGUCUUUGCAGAGGUGAUUAAAUUAAGGAUAUUGGCAUGGAGAUAAAUCCUAAAUUAUCUGCCUGGGCCCUAAUGUCAUCACAAAUGUCCUUGUAAGAAUGAGGCAGAAGGCAAUUAGACACACAGAGAUGAAUAUAUAAUAUAAUAAUAGAAGUAGAGUUGGAGUGAUGUGGCCAUAAGCAAAGGAAUAUCAUCAGGAGCCACCAGAGGCUGAGAGAAGCAAGGAAUGGAUUUACCUUGAGGAUUUACUGAGGCAAUGUGGCCCUGCUGAUACCUUGAUUUUGGCUCAGUGAUACUAAUUUAGGAUUUCUAGCUUUUAUUUUAUUAUUUUUUUAGAUUUUAUUUAUUCAUUCAUGAGAGACACAGAAAGAGAGAGAGCCACAGGUAGAAGGAGAAGCAGGCUCCAUGCAGGAAGCCCGAUGUGGGACUCGAUCCCGGGUCUCCAGGAUCACACCCUGGGCAGAAGGCAGGCACUAAACCACUGAGCAACCCAGGGAUCCCCGGAUUUCUAGCUUUUAAACCAUGACAUAGGGAUGCCUGGGUGACUCAGUCGUUGAGUGUCUGCCUUUGACUCAGGUCAUGAUCCCAGGGUCCUGGGAUCAAUUCCCACAUGGGGCUCCCCGCAGGGAGCCUGCUUCUCUCUCUGCCUAUGUCUCUGCCUCUCUCACUCUGUGUCUCUCAUGAAUAAAUAAAUAAAAUCUUUAAAAAAAUAAAAAGUAAAAAAUAAACCAUGACAUAAUACAUAUCCAUUGUUUUAAGCCACUAAGUUUGUGGUAUUUUGUUGUAACAGACAUAGAAAACUGAUGUAAACAGUAAAAAUUUUUGGUGUUCAUACACAAAAUUUUAGAAAUAAUAUGUUUAAUAGGGAUUUUAAUAUUGUUUACAUUGCUUUACCAUUAUUCCUAUUUCAGCAUUCCCCUCCCUCAAAAACAAAACAAAACAAACAAAACAACAACAAAAAACUUCAGUAAAGUCAAUCGUGCCCACAAAUAUUUUACUCAAGUGGAUUUGUGUUUCUGUUUUAUAUACAAAGGAAUGCUAAGUUGCAUAAGGACAAGGAAUAGCAUCACAGAGAUGGAGUGUGGAAAUAGGAGUCCAGGACGCAGAGUGGCCAAGAAGAUGAAACAACAGAGAAGUUGAACAAACUUUGGGAGAAAAUACUUGGUUUCCCAUGAUCUGUGAAAUGAGAAGAGGCUUAAUUCAAUAACUUGGGUGGUGGGGUCAACAGAGAAAGAAUUCUCCUAAAUGGUAUAUGGGAUACAUUAUAAUUACUGUUGUGUUAUUUUUAUUGCUGUUUGUCAUAGCUCUGGCUGCUAUAACAAAUGACCAUUAGGUCAUUAGGUGGCAUAAACAAUACACAUUUAUUUCUCGCUAUUCUAAGGGACCUUAAAAAGCUCAAAAUCAAAGUGCUGACAGAUUUGGUUCAUGAUGAGGGCUCUCUUCCUGGCUUUCAGAUGGCCACCUUCUUGCCAUGUCUACUUUUGGCAGAAGGGCUCUGAUGUCUCUUCCUUUUCCUUAUAAGGAAAUUAAUCCCAUUAUGGGGGCUCUAAUCUCAUAACCUCAUCUAAACCUAAUUAUUUCUCAAAGGCUCCACCUCCUAAUACCAUCAUAUAGAGAUAGUUCUACUUUUCUUAAGUAUUCGGAAUAUUCUAGAAACAAGUUUUUCCUGCUGACCAUAAGUGACCUGGACAAAUCACUACCUCUCUUUUGGGAGUGUUUCAAGAAUGAAGAACAGAAGCACAGGGAAUCCUGUUGAUUGAGUGAAAGCGAAGGAGCAUUCACAGGUCAUUAAAAGAGUAUGGGCUUCAGACAUCAAUAAUUAUGGAUUCUAGUCAGUUUUCAAAAUUUGAGUGUGCUGACUUACUGAUGACUCUCACAGAAGGCAGCCAUCACAUUAAGAGGAAACUUGAACUGCAAUCCCUCAUUUUCUUUUCAUUUUCAUGAAAAAGUUAGCAUAAUGGGAACUGAUAAGAGACCCAAAUCACUGAAAUAUGAAAAUCACAGAAUUAGCAUUUAUCCAAAUUCCUCAGCUGAACCUAUCAUGGAAAGAGCUUGUUUUAAUCACAUCAAGUUGCUGCUUUGUGACUGUGGAGUUUUUUAUGAACUAAAACACCCCUUAUUCUUCUAGGCAAAAUUAAUGGCUCUACCAAAGAAUUAGAUUAGUGAAGUAUAGAGCCUUUGUAAAGCUCCAGGAAGAGAUCUUCAACAUUUUCAAGUUGUCACCCCAUGAAACAGAAACAUCAGUGCAAAAUCCUUUGGAAUUAAUCAAUCUAAUAGUCACCUCCUUCAUGUUUUCUAUUUUCGGACUCAAAAUUUUACUCUGUUCAAAAGUUAGUUUUGUUUAAGAUCUGGAGCAGUUUGCAUGACCACUGCUCUUUCUCCUAGAUAACUUUACGAAACAUAAAGGAAGUUCAUGAAUUAUAUCCAUGUACCUUAUGUCUGAAGGCCACCGUCACUUUGGGUUUGGCUUCACCACUGAAGUUUCCAAAAGUUAGCUGUCAGAAGGUAGUCUGUUUUAUUUAAGGUUUAUUUCAUUUUAAUCCUCAGUUAUAUAUGUGAAGCUAUAAUAUUUUCAUGGAAAAAAAAAUCUUUAUUAUCUUGACUGUUUUUCUCCUCUACUAUUUGUUGACUUACUAAGCAGUUCUUGCAUUAUCAUGCAAAUUUUCUUGGUCUCACUGAAAAUUACAUGUUCACUCUGAUCUGAAGAAUAAAAACUUGGAAGUCAAGAUAGUGAACUCCAUGUAGUCAUGACAUAUUAGUUUGUCAGAAAUGAAAGGGCAAUUCUGGUGUGUAAGCCACAGUAUUAUAUAAUAUUAUCUCUUCAGUGAUUAAUAAUAUGCCAGAGUAGGUCAGAACACCUCAACAGAGCAGUUUUAGAUUCUCUUUCCAUCACACCAUGCUAUGGACACCCCAGCUCCAUCCUUAUCAACAGACUCAUGCAUGCCACUCAAAAGUUCUGCAUGUGCUUUAUUUCAGCUUGCUUUUUUUCAUUGAAUACUGCAUUGAAAACAUAUGUGCUACUGUUCUGCCACAUACUUUGUCCCCUUCUUUGCCCCAUAAACUCCAUAAUCUAAAAUUCUCUAUAAUUAGUCUCCAAGGUUAAUUUUCAAAUUCUAAAUGUAUCCAUGUAUAUAAAUGCAAGUAAAAUCAAUCUUCAUUAUUCAUGGAUUUAAUAUUUGCAAAUUUGCCCACUUCCUAAACUUUAUUUCAAGCCCCCAAGUCAACACUUGUGGGUUUUCAUCAUCUUUCCCAUAAAUGUGCAGAAUGGUGAAAAAUUUGAGUUGCUUGACAAGCAAGUUCUCACCUGAGGUCAAACAAAGCAAUGCUCUUUCUUUUUCAGCACUUGCACUGUAAAUAUAGAAACAUGCCACUGCAUCCCCCGCCCCCCC